AUGGCGCGUGAAUUCCAUCAACUGGAGACCACUAUCAUACCGCAGUUCGAGCUAGUGGUUGAAGCAGCCGACAAGGGAAAUCACAGGCCCAAGUUGGACAAAUGGCUUCAAGAACUCAAGGAUGCCUUCUAUAUGGCUGAAGACUUGCUAGACGAGCAUGAGUACAACCUCCUCAAGCGCAAAGCAGACGGGAAGGAUUCUAUGCCGCCUAAUGACUCUUCCAUUAGCAGCAUAUUUAUGAAGCCUCUACAUGCUGCAUCAAGCAGGAUGUCCAAUAUGAGAUCAGAUAACAGAAAUUUACUUCGCCAUCUCAAUGAACUUAAGGCUACCCUAGCGAAAGCUAAGGACUUUCACGAACUGCUGUGCUUACCAAUUGGUUAUAAUGCAGAGAACCCCACCAUACCAUCAUCCAUUGUUCAUGUGGCUACAUCACUGCCACCUCUGAAAGUGAUCGGUCGUGAUAAGGAUCGUGAUCAUAUAAUAAAUCAUCUUACCAAGACAACUGGUACUGCUGAGUCUAGGACUGCUAUGUACUCCGGAUUGGCCAUUGUUGGAGUUGGAGGCAUGGGAAAGUCCACUUUGGCACAACUUGUUUACAAUGACAAGCGGAUAAAAGAAUUUUUUGAUGUGACGAUGUGGGUAAGCAUCUCACGCAAACUUGAUGUUCACCGUCAUACACGGGAGAUCAUCGAGUCUGCUUCUCAAGGGGAGUGCCCACGCAUUGAUAACCUUGAUACACUUCAGCGUAGGUUGAAAGACUUACUGCAAGAAUCCGGAAAAUUCCUGCUUGUUUUGGAUGAUGUUUGGUUUGAACCUGACAGUGGAAGGGAAUGGGACCAACUAUUAGCUCCUCUAGUUUCCCAACAAACAGGAAGCAAAGUUUUGGUAACCUCUCGAAGGGAUACAUUUCCAGCUUCUCUUUUUUGUGCGGAAGUGUGUCCUCUGGAAAACAUGGAAGACGAUCAAUUCUUGGAACUCUUCAAACACCAUGCAUUUUUUGGACCAGAAAUUCAAAAUCCACGGUUGCGUGAAAAGCUAGAAAAAAUUUCAGAGAAGAUUGCUAAAAGGCUUGGACAAUCUCCUUUGGCGGCAAAAGUUGUGGGUUCCCAGUUGAAAGGGAAAACAAGUAUCACUGCUUGGAAUUCAGCUCUAAAGAUUGACAACUUAAGUGAUCCAAUGAGUGCUCUGUUGUGGAGUUAUGAGAUGUUAGAUCCACGUCUGCAGAGGUGCUUCCUAUAUUGCAGCUUGUUCCCAAAAGGCCAUAAGUAUGUCAUUGAUGAGUUAGUUCAUCUUUGGAUGGUAGAGGGCCUUAUUGAUUCAUACAACCAAAACAAGAGAGUGGAAGAUAUUGGGAGGGAUUGCUUCAAGGAGAUGAUCUCUGUUUCGUUCUUUCAACCAGUUUACAAGAAAUACACUUGGGACACUCCAAGAUAUGUUAUGCAUGAUCUCCUUCAUGAUCUGGCAGAAUCACUCUCCAAAGAGGCCUACUUCAGAUUGGAAGAUGAUAAGGUGACAGAAAUACCGUCCAUUGUUCGACAUCUAUCGGUUCGUGUUCAUAGUAUGACGCAACACAAACAAAGUAUCUGCAAUCUACAUCAUUUGCGCACUAUUAUCUGCAUAGACCCCCUAAUGGAUGAUGUAAGUGACCUUUUUAAUCAGAUACUACAGGAUUUGAAGAAGUUGCGUGUACUACAUUUGUCAUCUUAUAGCAGUAGUAAGUUGCCAGAAUCUGUUGGUGAGCUGAAGCACCUUCGGUAUUUGAACAUCAUCAGAACACUGAUUUCUAAAUUGCCAAGAUCAUUGUGUACUCUUUACCACUUGCAGUUACUUCUGGUAAAUGAUAAAGUUGAGAUUUUGCCUGGGAAACUUUGCAACUUAAGGAAGUUACGACAUCUUGACUGGUAUGAUUAUGGAACACCUGAUUCAUGCAGAAAAGCAGCGCCUCAAAUUCCUAACAUUGGCAAGCUAACUUCGCUUCAACAAGUUCAGAAAUUUUCUGUUCAAAAGAAAAUGGGAUAUGAAUUGCAACAACUUAGGGAUAUAAACGAGAUCCGUGGCAGUUUAAGUGUCACAAAUCUUGAGAAUGUCAGUGGGAAGGAUCAAGCCUUAGAAUCGAAGCUGCAUCAGAAAAGUCAUCUUGGCAGCUUGUGCCUUGAAUGGUGUUGCCGGAAUAACACCAAUGCAGAGGAUAGUUUACACUUGGAGAUUCUAGAAGGCCUCAUGCCACCGUCUCAACUUGAGGAUCUUACAAUUGACGGUUACAAGUCUUCACAAUAUCCAGGCUGGUUACUUAACGGUUCUUAUUUUGAGAAUUUGGAAUCUUUAAGCUUUGCUAACUGCAACGCAUUACAAAGUCUACCAUCCAAUACUGGGCUAUUUGGGAAUUGCUCUUCGCUUGACCUCCGUAAUGUGCCAAACCUGAAGACAUUACCUUGUCUUCCACUGGGGCUUACAUAUUUAAGAAUGGACAAUUGCCCACUGCUUAUAUUUACUUCCAACGAUGUGCAGGAAAAUAAUGACCAGAGAGAGAUCAUGAGGACAGACCACUUGGCAUCACAGCUUGGUUUAAUCUGGGAGGUGGAUGCAGGAUCAUAUAUCAAGAGUGUACUCUCACGGGAACAUUCAUUUAUGAACCAGCUGAUGACAUUUAUGCAUGCUGAUGUGUCAAAUGUUCAAAACCUUGAAAGUGCUCUAAAAGGAGAGAAAGAAGAAAUACUGGCAAAAGAGGAUAUCAUCAAGGCAUGGCUAUACUGUCACGAGCAGAGGAUGUGCCUCAUAUAUGGAAGGAGCAUUGGGCUGCCACUGGUUUCACCAUCAGGACUUCGUAGUCUUAACCUUUUUCAAUGUAGUAUUACAAAUGGAGCUUUGGCAGUAUGCCUUGAUGGCCUGGCUUCAUUGGAAAGUUUGAUCUUAAAAGAGAUUAUGACUUUAACUAGACUUCCUUCGGAAGAGGUUCUCCAACAUUUGACAAAUCUUGGCCGCUUGUCCAUUGUAUAUUGCUGGUCUCUCAGGUCAUUAGGGGGCUUACGAGCUGCUACCUCUCUUUCAGAUGUUAGCUUGAGUUCCUGCCCUUCUUUAGAAUUGGCACAUGGAGCAGAAUGUUUGCCAUUAUCCAUUGAGAAACUCAAUAUAGACAAUUGCGUGCUUCCAGCUGACUUUUUCUGUGCUGACUGGACACACAUAAAUGUUAUCAGCAUAUUGGAUUGCAGAAGCACCGCUUGCUUGUCUGUUGGUAGUCUCACCUCUGUUAAAUCAUUUGUAUUGUAUAACUUGCCAGAUUUAUGUACACUUGAAGGAUUGUCUUCUCUGCAACUUCACAGUGUACAUUUGAUUGAUGUUCCGAAGCUCACCCCUGAGUGCAUCUCACAUCUUCGAGUUCAGUACUCGCUCACUGUUAGCAGUUCUGUGAUAUUCAAUAACAUGCUCUCGUCUGAAGGUUGCUCAGUUCCAGCAUUUCUCUCUCUUGAAGGAUGCAAGGACCCAUUUGUUUCAUUGGAAGAAUGCACAAAUUUCGCAUCAGUCAAGACUCUAAGAUUUUGUGAUUGUCAAAUGACUUCCCUGCCAACAAAUCUGAAGUGCUUCUCCAGUCUGAGGAGUCUCGACAUCUAUAGCUGCCCCAACAUAUCAUCUUUACCAGACCUGCCAUCCUCUCUCCGGCACAUAUGUGUAUGGGGUUGUGAGCUAUUGAAGGAGAGCUGCCGAGCACCUGAGGGAGAAAGUUGGCCAAAGAUCGCGCAUAUCCGCUGGAAGGAAUUUAUAGUGUGA
rnacentral:rRNA from 1 species